rnacentral:rRNA from 1 species
GUACAUGCCUACAACAUAGCGUUAAUGCACCGGAUCUCAUUAGAACUCUACAGUUAAUCAUGCUUAGGCUAGAGUAGUACUGGUGUAGUGUACC